AAAAAUUUAGUUAAAUUUAUAACAUUAGUUUGUCAAACUAAAAUUAUUUAAAAAAAUAAUUUUUU
rnacentral:tRNA from 1 species